GACGAACGCUGGCGGCGUGCUUAACACAUGCAAGUCGAACGAAGAGCGACGGAAGCUUGCUUCUAUCAAUCUUAGUGGCGAACGGGUGAGUAACGCGUAAUCAACCUGCCCUUCAGAGGGGGACAACAGUUGGAAACGACUGCUAAUACCGCAUACGAUCUAACCUCGGCAUCGAGGAUAGAUGAAAGGUGGCCUCUACAUGUAAGCUAUCACUGAAGGAGGGGAUUGCGUCUGAUUAGCUAGGUGGAGGGGUAACGCCCCACCAAGGCGAUGAUCAGUAGCAGGACGGCUAGGAUGAACGGCCACAUUGGGACUGUGACACGGCCCAGACUCCUACGGGAGGCAGCAGGGGGGAAUCUUCCGCAAUGGACGAAAGUCUGACGGAGCAACGCCGCGGGAGUGAUGACGGCCGUCGGGUUGUAAAGCUCUGUUAAUCGGGACGAAAGGCCUUCUUGCGAAUAGUGAGAAGGAUUGACGGUACCGGAAUAGAAAGCCACGGCUAACUACGUG
rnacentral:rRNA from 1 species